rnacentral:rRNA from 1 species
AACUCGGCAAAAUGACCCCGUAACUUAGGGAUAAGGGGUGCCACCAUCAGGUGGCCGCAGAGAAUAGGCCCAAGCGACUGUUUACCAAAAACAUAGGUUUCUGCUAAGUCGCAAGACGAUGUAUAGGAGCUGACGCCUGCCCGGUGCUGGAAGGUUAAGGGGAGCUGUUAGAGCAAUCGAAGCAGUGAACUUAAGCCCCAGUAAACGGCGGCCGUAACUAUAACGGUCCUAAGGUAGCGAAAUUCCUUGUCGGGUAAGUUCCGACCCGCACGAAAGGCGUAACGAUUUGGG